rnacentral:rRNA from 1 species
CAUGCAAGUCGAACGGUAACAGGUCUUCGGAUGCUGACGAGUGGCGAACGGGUGAGUAAUACAUCGGAACGUGCCCGAUCGUGGGGGAUAACGAGGCGAAAGCUUUGCUAAUACCGCAUACGAUCUACGGAUGAAAGCGGGGGAUCUUCGGACCUCGCGCGGACGGAGCGGCCGAUGGCAGAUUAGGUAGUUGGUGGGAUAAAAGCUUACCAAGCCGACGACCUGUAGCUGGUCUGAGAGGAUGAUCAGCCACACUGGGACUGAGACACGGCCCAGACUCCUACGGGAGGCGGCAGUGGGGAAUUUUGGACAAUGGGCGAAAGCCUGAUCCAGCCAUGCCGCGUGCAGGAUGAAGGCCUUCGGGUUGUAAACUGCUUUUGUACGGAACGAAAAGCCUCUUUCUAAUAAAGAGGGGUCAUGACGGUACCGUAAGAAUAAGCACCGGCUAACUACGUGCCAGCAGCCGCGGUAAUACGUAGGGUGCAAGCGUUAA